GACGAACGCUGGCGGCGUGCCUAACACAUGCAAGUCGAGCGGGGUAGCCGGAAGGUGUAGCGAUACAGCGGAGGGGUACCUAGCGGCGAACGGGUGAGUAACGCGUGGGCAAUCUGCCCCCGGGGGCGGGAUAACAGACCGAAAGGCCUGCUAAUACCGCAUGAAGCCGUCCUAUCGCAUGAUAAGACGGUAAAAGGGGAAACCCGCCUGGGGAGGAGCCCGCGUCCCAUUAGCUAGUUGGUGGUGUAAAGGACCACCAAGGCGAUGAUGGGUAGCCGGCCUGAGAGGGUGAACGGCCACAUUGGGACUGAGACACGGCCCAGACUCCUACGGGGGCGAGCAGUGAGGGAUUUUCGGUCAAUGGGCGAAAGCCUGACCGAGCGACGCCGCGUGAGCGAAGAAGGCCUUCGGUCGUAAGACGUCUGUCUAGGGGUAAGGAGUAAGGACGGUACCGUCUGGAGGAAGACCACGGCGUAACUACGUGCCAGCAGCCGCGGUAAACGGUAAGCGUG
rnacentral:rRNA from 1 species